CUUCCUCCCUCUUGAGUCUCCUCCUAUCCACCUCUAGCCUCGCGCGACCUGCCCACGCUCGCCGGCCAUGCCGCCGCCACUCUCCUUCCUCCACCCACCGCCCAACCCGCCAGUCCUCCACCCCUCCCCCUUCCACCACCGAGCCCCCCACCGCCUCUCCCUCCGCGCCGAUCCCCCACUCCGAGCGGCGGCGGCGACGGCGGCAGCGGCCGAGAACCCGUACUCGGCGGCGCCCACUGCGGCGGACGUCGAGAUGUUCCGCGGCGGGGACGGCGUGUGGACGGCGCGGAGCCCGACGGUGGUGGUGCUGUGGGACCUCGACAACAAGCCCCCGCGCGGGCCGCCCUUCGAGGCGGCCACCUCCCUCCGCGAGGCGGCGUCCCUCCUCGGCCGCGUCGACUCCGUCUCCGCCUUCGCCAACCGCCACGCCUUCACCCACCUCCCCGCCUGGGUCUCCGCCGACCGCCGCGAGCGCCGCGCCCUCGACCGCGCCGAGCGCACGGGCGCCGCCGCCCCGCCCGUCCCCUACUCCUGCGCCGUCUGCGGCCGCCGCUUCCCCACCCGCCCCGACCUCGCCCGCCACUUCCGCCAGCUCCACGAGCGCGAGCGCAACAAGAAGCUCGGCCGCCUCCGCUCCCUCAAGGGCAAGAAGCGCCAGAAGUUCCGCGAGCGCUACAUCUCCAACAACACCAAGUACCAGGACGCCGCGCGGGAGCUCCUCACCCCCAAGGUCGGCUACGGGCUCGAUUCCGAGCUCCGGCGCGCCGGCGUCCAUGUCCGCACCGUCCCUGACAAGCCGCAGGCUGCCGACCAGGCGCUCAAACGCCAGGUGAAGCACGCCAUCGCCUGCGGCGUCGACUGGGUCGUGCUCGUCUCCGAUGACUCCGACUUCACCGACACGGUGCGUAAUGCACGCGCUGCCGCCCUGAGGAUGGUCGUGGUUGGGGACGGGUGCCGCGCUCUCGGGAAGGUUGCUGAUAUCUGGCUGCCUUGGGACAGCGUGCAAAACGGGGAGGUUGAUGAGGAGAUGAUGCGGAGUGGGAAGGUUCCAGAGUUUAGAUACGAAGAGCACGAUGAGCAAUAUGAUGAUGAUGAGUUUAUAGUGGAUUGGGAUACGAAUGAAUUGGAUGAUGUUGUUGAUGACAUUGUUACAAGCAGGACCAAAGUUUUUGGUUCUACAACAAUGUCUGCAUUUGCCGAAGAGGACAUUGUUGAUGGUAUUUUGGGGCUUAGACAUAAGGAGGAUGACAUGCUUUGGAGUAGCGACGACGAGGAUGAGGACGGUUAUUUGUGAGAUUUACAUGGAUUGGCAGACUCAAACUGUCUGCGUUGUUAGGAUACAGUGAUUAUGCUGGUUCAUUACAACAUCCUUCUGAUGCAAAAUGUCUGCGUUUGUUAGUAUACACUGAUUACGCUGGUUCAUUACAACAUCCUUCUGAAUGUUAGGACCAACAUAUGACCAAGUAGCUAGGUCAUUAGCAGCAAUUCAGUCCCGCUGCUCAACUUCGCCAACUUGGUGACACCUCAAUUCUCAGACUUGCUAGGCAGCAUGUUUUGUGGGGCGAUAGGAGAGAAGUCUCCCUACCACAUGAUCAAUUGAUCAACAAGACAAUACCACUGGCAUCUGUCCUUGAGUUCAUGUCAUUUGUACAUCACAGUCUAACUCCUGAACGAACUUCACCCGAAGCUUGAUUGCUUUCCUCAGUGCUCUGCUGCAGGCAACUAGUCAGUAAUAUCAGUAUCUGUCGUUUACUCGUUUUUUCACUUCAGCUGUUGCCACUUCAAUUUUUCCUGUUUUGUCUCGAACGAUUAUUCAUCCACCUUUAUAAAGAGAGCAUCAUCACCCAAACCUUCUUCAGUUGGUGUCCAUUUGUCUCGCAAGUAAAUAGUACCUGUAACUUAACCCCUCGCUAAUCUACUAAAUUGAAAUAGCAAGGUCCUUUUUGCCAAUUCCAUCUUGUCACCUCCAUAAGCAACACUCUCCGUUCACCAUAUUCAUAAAAACCCUCCUCAAUGUUCAUCAUGUCAGCAUUGUUCAGCCUCUAAAAGCCUCUCUCUACAGUUAUUCUGGAACCAAUGUCAUCUGCUAAGCGAUCUGCUACUUUUCCGCAAUUGGUCUCCUUGAUUUCUGUGACUACUUUAUAUUGCCAAUACUCUGUAGCUUUGCAGAACUAUUAUGCGAGGGCAAGGCUGUCUAGAAAUUCCCUUCCCCAGACCCCACCUUGUGCGGGAGCUUUCAGCACUGGAUGCACCACAGGUAGUAUCUGCAUUUUCCGAAGAGGACACUGUUGAUGUUAUGUUGGGGCUUCGACUGAAGGAGCACGACAUGCUCUGGAGUAGUGACGUCUAGGAUGAGGACAGUUAUUUGUGAGAUUCACAUGGAUUGGCAGAUAUGUGUAUGACCAAGUAGUUAAGUCAUUAUCAGCAAUUCGGUUGCACUGCUCAAUUUCACCAACUUGGCGACACCUCAAUUCUCAGAACUGCUAGGCAGCAGAUUUUGUGAGGCGCUAGGAGGGGCCUGGCGGAGUGGUGAAGUACUCCCCACUUGUGCCAAGAGGCAAGAGGUCCUGGUUUCGACGCCGCCUCUCUGCAUUGCAGGGUGCAGGGGUAAGGCUUGCUUCGUAUUAUCCUUCCCCAGACCCAACCUGGUGUGGGAGCUUCUAGCACUGGGACUGUCCUUUUUGGAGGGAACUCUCGAUACCACAAUCAUCAACAAGACAGUACCACUGGCAUGUGUCCUUGAAUUAUUGACACUUCAACAGCAGUCUGACUUCUGAACUAACUUUAGUACCUCAAACUUGAUUGCUUUCCUCAGUACUGGUCUGCACGCAGGUAUCUCUUGUUUCUUCAGUUCAGUUGUUGGCACUUUGAUUUUUCCUGUUUGGUCUCGGAUGAUCAUUCAUCCACCUUAAUUAAAAUAAAGAGACCAUCAUCACCAACCUUCUUCAGGUGAUAUUCUUUCUUUGGCAAGUAAACAGUACUUGUAACUUAAGCCCUAGCUAAUCUGCUGAACAGAACACCGUGUCCUUUUUUUUGUCAGUUCCAUCUUGCCAUCUCCAUAAGCAAACAUGUCUGUUCAUCACAUUUCAUGGAGACCCUCCUCUAUGAUCAUCAGGUGCUCUUUUGUCUGGGCCUUCAGUUUAUGUUCUUAUUUGGCAGCUGUGUUUAUCGCAUACUGAGCUUAGGAGCACGUGCAUUGUUCAGCGGCUGUUCAAAUUCUUCGAUGUCUUAUGUUCAAGAAGUUUCAAAUACCAUUUGAGAAACAGAUAGUUGGUUCCCAAAAGACCACCGAAUUCAGAUCAGCAGAACAAACAGCCAUCGCCUGACAUUCAUGAUGCAAUUUGUGGAUAGCAAUCACCCCGCUAAUGCAGUAGCUGGAAGCGAAAGAGAGAGCUUCAUAGUUGGAGAAAAUCUUAACCAGGACACAAGUGCACCCUCGAGGCAGUCUGAAGGAACAGAAAACAGGGUACACGUGGAUGGUGGGCUGGCCUCGGUUGCAAAGAUGCUACUUGAAGAGUGUCUGAAGGCUUGCAAUGGCAUGCCCUUCAAGGGGUGGGUGGCAAUGUGGCAUGCUGUGGUGUGAACAUUUUCUAAAAUUGUGGAUGCACUGUCAUGAAUGUGUGCCUUGAAGAUUAACCUGAAACUGUUAAUGCCGUGGGUCAAAGACAAGCUGACUGCCUGCGUGCUGUUUACAGACA